AACGGGGGGACCAAGCGUUUAUUCGUCUUGACUGGGCGUAAAGGGCAAGUAGGCGGUUCUUUCUUUUUCCUUCUUAAAUGCUUGUUUCUUUAACUUAAAAGGAGGAUGGAAAAGUAACUAGAGUAUGGAGAGAGGAUGGCAGUGACGUCUCAGUGGAGGGUAAAAGUUCCUUUGAUACUGAUGGGGACUCUCGGUGGCGAAGG
rnacentral:rRNA from 1 species